rnacentral:rRNA from 1 species
GUAAGGAAUAUUGGUCAAUGGGGGCAACCCUGAACCAGCCAUGCCGCGUGAAGGAUGAAGGCGUUAUGCGUUGUAAACUUCUUUUGUAUGGGAAGAAUGACAGGGAUUCAUCCUUGGAGAGACGGUACCAUACGAAUAAGCACCGGCUAACUCCGUGCCAGCAGCCGCGGUAAUACGGAGGGUGCAAGCGUUAUCCGGAAUCACUGGGUUUAAAGGGUACGUAGGCGGUUAAUUAAGUCAGUAGUGAAAGACUGUCGCUCAACGACGGAUGUGCUAUUGAUACUGGUUAACUUGAAUCAGGUUAGAGUUGGCGGAAUGGGUCAUGUAGCGGUGAAAUGCUUAGAUAUGACACAGAACACCAAUUGCGAAGGCAGCUCACUAAGGCGAUACUGACGCUGAGGCACGAAAGCGUGGGGAUCGAACAGGAUUAGAUACCCCUGUAGUCC